rnacentral:SRP_RNA from 1 species
GCCGGGCGUAGUGGCGGGCGCCUGUAGUCCCAGUUACUCGGGAGGCUGAAGCAGGGGAAUUGCUUGAACCCAGGAGCUGGAGGUUGCAGUGAGCUGAGAUUGCGCCACUGCACUCUAGCCUGGGUGACAGAGCGAGACUCUGUUUCAA